rnacentral:rRNA from 1 species
AAUGAACGCUGGCGGCAGGCCUAACACAUGCAAGUCGAGCGAAGUCUUCGGACUUAGCGGCGGACGGGUGAGUAACGCGUGGGAACAUGCCCUUUGGUGCGGAAUAGCCCCGGGAAACUGGGAGUAAUACCGCAUGUGCCCUUCUGGGGAAAGAUUUAUCGCCAAAGGAUUGGCCCGCGUUGGAUUAGGUAGUUGGUGGGGUAAUGGCCUACCAAGCCGACGAUCCAUAGCUGGUUUGAGAGGAUGAUCAGCCACACUGGGACUGAGACACGGCCCAGACUCCUACGGGAGGCAGCAGUGGGGAAUCUUAGACAAUGGGCGCAAGCCUGAUCUAGCCAUGCCGCGUGAUCGAUGAAGGCCUUAGGGUUGUAAAGAUCUUUCAGUGGGGAAGAUAAUGACGGUACCCACAGAAGAAGCCCCGGCUAACUCCGUG